rnacentral:rRNA from 1 species
AGCGAACGCUGGCGGCAGGCUUAACACAUGCAAGUCGAGCGGGCACUUUCGGGUGUCAGCGGCGGACGGGUGAGUAACGCGUGGGAACGUGCCCUCUGGUUCGGAAUAACUCAGGGAAACUUGAGCUAAUACCGGAUACGCCCUUUUGGGGAAAGGCUUGCUGCCGGAGGAUCGGCCCGCGUCUGAUUAGCUAGUUGGUGAGGUAACGGCUCACCAAGGCGACGAUCAGUAGCUGGUCUGAGAGGAUGAUCAGCCACACUGGGACUGAGACACGGCCCAGACUCCUACGGGAGGCAGCAGUGGGGAAUAUUGGACAAUGGGCGCAAGCCUGAACCAGCCAUGCCGCGUGAGUGAUCAAGGCCUUAGGGUUGUAAAGCUCUUUUAUCCGGGACGAUAAUGACGGUACCGGAGGAAUAAGCCCCGGCUAACUUCGUG